CAACAAACGUGAAACUCUAUUAGGAGCUGUGCCUUGUCAAAAUAAAUCUAAACCUAUAUGACUGGACCAUGUGGUAAUUUAAUUUAAAAGUCAGGUUAAUCUCCAGGGCUGGUACCUGCGGUUAUUCCACAGGCUAGUUAAUAACAUGUCGGGCAGGAAAUCCAAAGUGUGGGAUCAUUUUGAGAAGGUGAAGGACGAACCCAAGGUGAUAUGUAAACUCAUCUUCACUGGUCGACUACAAACAUGACGUAUCAUCUGAAACAUGGAAGUAGCUACAUGCCCAUUAGCCCACAGUGUCAUUAACAGGCGGCUCGCUCAGUGUGUGAUGUGCACUUGGAGAUAAAAUAUAGGCCUAUAUUAAUGAAGGUUCAUUAGUACGGUUUUGUAUUUCUCUGUAAUGUAGCACAGUGUUAACAAUGUUACUGAUACUAUUCUUUCUCACACCUUCA